GCCUUUGUAACAGCCAUCAAGCACUUUGAUACAACGCUAAUUGUCAGUGGUAGCAACAAAAGUUUUGACCGUUAGGAGGUGGAGCGUAAGCGUGAGUUACUUUGCUGGCCCACUUUUUUCAUUCUUAUAUCCAGACCAAAACCUAAAUAUAAAUUCUGAGAUCAAAGCCCAUAUCAUCUUUUCAGUGUUUCCCCAGUAUUUUAAGAUGGGCAACAACAUCUUUAAAGGGAAAUAAGCUGUUAACCUUUGCUGAAACUUGUGGACUGACUAAGCUGCUUUUUAAGUUAAGUUUUACAAGGUAAAGUGUGACGUACAGUAGGUGAAAGCUAUAGUUUUUUUUAUUUUUUUAUAAAUGAUUAUGCAACAGUUAUUUAAGAAAGUAAUUUUAAACAAAUUUGUACAAAUGAUCAUGCCUAUAGCUGUAAUGUCGUAAUAGAAAAUCACAUAACAAUGAGCAUUCGAACAAUAAUUGUUUUAUUUCAAAUGUCCUCACUCUGACAGCUACUGUAUAUCUACAGUCUAGAAAUAAACACAAAACAAUCAUCCCAUCUAGGUUAUAGGUCAUUGGAAGAUUAGUAAAAGUAACUUUAGGCAAGUGUAUUUGGAAGGCACCUUUCACGUACGGAGGCAAUUCAAGGUGCUUUAUAUAAGGAAAGAAAUAAUGAACAAAAAGAAGAGAAAUGAAAUAAAACAACAUUUAAAACACAUUAGACAAUAGAAUAAAGUGAGAUAAAUAAAAUAGGACAAAAUAAAAAUAAAAUACAUUAAAACAAAUCAUAGAAUAGAACAAAUCAUAUUGUACAGUUACAGUUUCCCUAAAUUCAAAUUAAAGUAAACCAAGCAACCCAAUGAGAGCUAUUCUGAGACAAAACAGGAAGGAAGUGUUUAACUCAAUUGUAUAUAUAAAACAAACCGAAAAGGAUGACAUUUGACUUGCUAUUCCUUGAUGAUU